rnacentral:rRNA from 1 species
CCCUUAGAUGUUCUGGGCCGCACGCGCGCUACACUGUUCGACGCAGCGAGUCUUAACCUUGACCGAAAGGUUUGGGUAAUCUUCAGCAAAGUCGAUCGUGAUGGGGAUCGAUCAUUGCAAUUAUUGAUCGUGAACGAGGAAUUCCUAGUAAGUGCAAGUCAUCAGCUUGCGCUGAUUACGUCCCUGCCCUUUGUACACACCGCCCGUCGCUACUACCGAUUGAAUGGUUUAGUGAGAUCUCUGGAUUGACGCUGGCUAGGGGGCGACCCUUGGCCAGGCUGUCGAGAAACUGCUCAAACUUGAUCAUUUAGAGGAAGUAAAAGUCGUAACA